rnacentral:lncRNA from 1 species
UUUGGCUCGAAUCGGGGAGGGCAGCUACUGUAGCACUGUGAUCUGCUCAGAUAGCUUUUAGUAAGGAGCCCAAGGCACAGAAGGAACCCCGCCGUGUCUUUCGUGAGGCUGUGCGCCCCCUAGUGGGCAAGUGGGCUAACUGUGGUCACAGGUGAGGCCGAGACACCACGCUGAGAGCAGCGACAGGGCGUUCAACACACGCCCAUCUGAUACCUGAGUCAAACAGCUGGGACUGUCCCCCUAGAUACCCCUUGAGACCCCCAAGCCUCCUCUCUCUGGACGUGUAUGGUCAAGCAAAGGGUUGGGGGGCAGCUGCAGGUGGCCACUCCGUUCACCAUCCGCUCGGACGCCCAGGCAGCUCGCUGCCGUCCUCCAUCGCUCGUCACUCUCUCUCUCCCGCCUUCCGCUGCCUCGGGGAGGAAUCGCUGACGCUUUGGCUCCGUUGCCACGGCGAUCGCAGCGAGCCUCUAUCAAGGUACUGUACCACUCUGCACCAGUGGGCCCUACCAGUGAGCUGUACCAGUGUCCUGUACCAGUCUGCACCAGUGAGCUGUACCAGUGUCCUGAACCAGUCUGCACCAGUGAGCUGUACCAGUGUCC